CAUUGUUUUCGCCAUAGGCUUCACAUAUUUAGGUCUCUGCCUGUAUGUUGGUAUUAAGUGAUCAGACGAGCCCAGAGCUGCACGGGGGAUAGUACAGUCUGCGUCAUUUAGGAUGGUAUAGCAGUGGUCUAGAAUGUUGUUUUCCCUGUUACGACAGUCAAUGUGCUGCUUGGAUUUAAGGAGUUCGUGGUUGACUUUAGCUUUGUUAAAGUCCCCAAGAAUAAUGUGGGGUGAAGCUGGGUUCUUUAUUUCAAGUUUGUUUACUUGUUUAGCGAACCUUAGCAGUGCGGCAUUUGUGUUAGCCUGGGGAGGAACGUAGACAUCCGCGAGGAUGAAAGUGGCGAACCUUUGUUCAAAAGCAGUGACUCCAAGUCCGGGCUGCAGUGUGUGUUGAGCUCCGAGACGUCGGUAAACCUUUUUUCGUUGAUAUACAAGUAUAUUCCGCCGCAUUUUGUUUUCCCCGAUAGCUCCGUGAUGCGGUGCGCUCGGUAAAGUUGGAAGCCGGGAAGCACCACAGUGCCAUCUGGGACGCAUUCACAUAGCCAUGUCUCCGUGAAGCACAGGGUGGCAAAACGUCCGGUCUUCUUCUUGAGAACAUGAAGCUCGUCCAUUUUAUUGAGUAGAGAGCGUAGAUUUGGAAGGUGUAUCGAGCCUCACUUCCGGAGCUUGACCUGCACUCUGCCUCACUUUCCCCUAUGGCGUCGCCUUCAUGCGCUGUAGAUCACAGCCACUGCACUGGCUAGGAUUUACACCACAAAAUGGAAGAAGCUUUUUGUCCUGUCCUUGAAAAGUGUGAGUCCAUAUAUUAUUUUAUAAUUUCACUACAAUUACACAAAUGUUUAUUUCUGGUAAUGUUAAAAGACUGGACAUACACACUAGAGCCUUCACUCCUGAGUUUCAAAAAGCCAGUAAAAUUUGAAGUCUGAGCCCCAUUUUCAGGAAGCAUAUGCCUUAGAUAUCAUACCAAUUUUUGAAUUCAAUUGUCAUAAUGCGUGGUAUCAGCAUAAGGAACAAGACCUCAUCGUGUCUCAAAGCAAGUCACAGUUUGCUUAAUGCAUAAUGGAGGUAAAAGAGAGCUCUUUCUGUAGAUAAAAAGCGCAAUAGUCUAAUUCCUUGCUGAAGGCAUGGAAAAACUAGACAUUUGAACUAAGUCAUUGUGCUGUUAAAUAAUUGGUGUGUGACUCAGAGAGCAAAAUGUUUCUUUCUGAUGAAGGUGCAUUAAGGCAAGUUUCUUUUGUGAAGCAAAUGCAUCGCAUUAAAGGGUCUAACAUACUAAGAUCCCAAAUAGUGGGUGAUAAAUUGUGUGUUCUCCCCUAAACUGAUUACACGUGAUGUUGGCAACAUGACCGCCAUAUUUUAAAAGAGGGUUUUGCACUUUCAGUCACCAGGGAAAAUUUGGGAGAGCACCACAAGCACAAAACAAAGUUUUAAGCAAUGGAAUUGGAAGUACAACAUCCAGCCCCAAAUAAGUAUUUGAUAUUUAGCAUUGAACUGGCCCCCGCAGCCACCAUAAAUCAAACUGAAUCCAUACUGUGUCUCAAGUGUCCUCACUAACACCUUCUUCAUAUAGAAACAUAAUAAAACGUGAUUUGCCAGAGACAGUCAAAAUCCCAAAACAUUUAGUUUUAGUCCGUUGAAUAAAUGCUGGUCGGCCCUCGACCUAAAGUGAGGCUCCGAAAUUGCAUUGCUCAAUAGACAAUAUGUCACAUUUUUUAUUUGUGGCAUUUAAAAAAUGUUUACACAACCCAAGAAGAUUAAUUCUCCCUGUUGCAUCUUAUUUUGCCUGCGCCUCCUCGUCAUGGUUACGCACAGCAGUGCCAUUUGCACUUGCCUUACAGACACACAAUUUAAAGACAUAAAAAAGUCACCACGUUCGGUCUCUGUCUUGAUAAAUCACAUUGCGUGUGCUAAAUUAAUCUUUUUGCAUAUACUCCUCCAAGAACGUGCAAACAUUUCAGUGUCGGAUAGCAAUUUUGACAGACACAAUCCUGAGUGCGCCAUGUUCAUUAGAGCUUUGUGUGUUUUGUUUGCACCGAUUUGUGUCACUGUUUGUCCAUAACAAACACAAUGUUCAACCCUAAGGGUGUGGCUGUGAAUAUUCUCAUUCAUCCAGGUCAUUUGAUUCUCAGGGUAUUUAAUCGAUCGAUGUGGAUUGUUCUGGUUGUCUUCCCCUCUUAUUUGAAGAAGCCUGCUCAGUUGAAGGGCGAAACAAAUUCUAAGACAACCAGAACAGUCCACAUCCACGAUCCAUUCAAAGUCUUUAUUUUUUUUUAAACAUGUGACAUAAGAAGAACCUUUGGUAUGUAUUACAUAUAUUUAUCAUAGCUAAUAUUUUUUAAAUCAUAUUUAAAAAUUUUCACAACCUGUCAUUUUCUGCAACUGUCAUUUUUCUAAAUGAUUUCUGUCUUUGGCAAAAACAGACUCAUGCUGACUCCUCAACUCUUGGUUGUUGUUGUUUUCGCUGCAGUACACGAGAUAUUUCUAAUCAUAACGUGGCUGUCAUAUACUGCCCUGCAGUUCCAUUAUAGUAGCCUGGAGGGCUCUUUGCGUCUUCUCUUUCUCCCCCCUCCCCUCUCUGUUUUCAGCACCUGUCUCCAAUCAGCCUCAUCACCACUGGUAUUUAAGCCUGCCUGUUCCAGGAAAUCCUCGCCAAAUGUUUCCCUGUGUUCCUGACCCACGUCAUUCCUGCCAGCCGCGUGUUCUGUCCACUGCCUGCCACCUGUCCACGCCGCCGCCUGCCAACACAUCCAGGACCACCUCCAUAACCUUUACUCAAUAAACUGUUCACCCUUUUACAUCUGCCUCCAGCUGCUCUUGGGUCCAGCUACUCCCCACACGUGACAGUGGCGUCACCAGACUAUGCCUUGGGUGCUCUAAGAAUAGCUUCUGAUCUACAAGAAAUAAGGCCAAUGUCUAUCCGAUAGUAAUAUUUUGCCAGAAGCAGAUGAUGGAAUGUACUCUCAGUUGAAAGUCUGCGCACUCUGUAGCUCACCUCGGGCAAUUCCUGAAAACAGAAACCAAACCCCCAGGAAUGUGGUUUCAGAGUGCUUGCUGCAUUUCCCCCAUCCAGUUAUACAGUAUGUACUUCCAACCACUGCACCUUCAGAGCCAUCGCAUCACCACAGAAACUUGUUCCUGCCACAAAAAACAGUUUAUUUUGACAGGGAAGACUCCUCGUCCAACUGUGUUGAGUUUGCUAUUGGUGACCUACUCAGAUUCAUGGACAAGAAGAUGAUGAAUCUUCUUUAUUGUCAUGACAUACAUGCAUGGUCACAAAAUUUGACCUCACCUUUCAGCCUUUCACACUGAGUGAACACAGUAACUGCACAGUUAGUAGCGCACUGGAGCAGGGGACUACUUUAGCGCCCGAGGAACAAUUCAGGGUAUCGAUUUCUAGCUCAAGGGCUCAAGGACACCAGACCUGUGAGUCUAGGAGAUAUCGUGGGUGGAUGCGGGACAUUGCUGUAUUCAAGCCCACCUCAUUAUUCCGCUGGUUGAUGACCUUAACUGGGUUAUCCACGGUUGCAGACUGAUCUAACUCACAUGGCCACGACUGCCCCCAAACAACAAGGCUCAUGUAAACAUGAAUAUUGGAUUUUAGAUACCUCUUUUAGAAAUGAAAAACAAAAAAAAAAAAAAUGCAUAAAUAAAUAAUGCAGAUGAGGUUCCUUGCAGUAUAUCUUUUGUGGGACCAGUUUGCUGUAGAUAAGUAUGACGGACGUGGCUAAAGCAUGAAAACAGAGGGAGUAAUAUUGUAGGCUAUUUGAGGAAUAGAAUGACAUAACAUAGUCAUUGCCAACAUUUUCCUUGUUCUUGCCAAAACUUUCACAAAUCUGUUCCUACAGCUUAUGCAUUGGUAUGAAAGAAAUUAUUAUUUUUCUUUUCUGUUUUGUUUGUUUUUUUGGUCCAAGUUGUUCUUUAUGUAUUGAAUGUGUGAUCACAUAACUGUUUAACAUGCACUGAAGCUACAGGUUUUCAGAUUGAAUGAGAUUGACCAAUUCAAAACAACCAAUACAUUAUACAGUAUGCGUACUUAUGUGUGCUUAGAUCCCAUGUAGAAGUCAUUUACAGUGGCUUGGAAGUGCAAAACAAUAUAACGAAUUGUGAAACACUUUUACAAUUCAGAAAACAAAUUAACAAGAUCAGAAACAAAAGACGAAACAAAUUACAAUUGAGAAAACCCGGAAAGGGAACAUCCCAUUUCUGCUUCAACAUGAUUGGCUCCUGCAUCGUGGGAAGGGUAGGCUCCGCAGAUGUAACGAGAUGUGCAUCCCAAAUAUAAUAAAAAGGACAAACAUGUUUAUUGU